rnacentral:rRNA from 1 species
GAUGAACGCUAGCGGCAGGCUUAAUACAUGCAAGUCGAGGGGCAGCAGCUUUGUAGCAAUACAGGGGCUGGCGACCGGCAAACGGGUGCGGAACACGUACGCAACCUUCCUUUAACUGGGAGAUAGCCCACCGAAAGGUGGAUUAAUAUCCCAUAGUAUAUUUGAGUGGCAUCACUUAGAUAUUAAAGCUCCGGCGGUUAAAGAUGGGCGUGCGUCUGAUUAGGUAGUUGGCGGGGUAACGGCCCACCAAGCCCACGAUCAGUAGCUGAUGUGAGAGCAUGAUGAGCCACACGGGCACUGAGAAACGGGCCCGACUCCUACGGGAGGCAGCAGUAGGGAAUAUUGGUCAAUGGACGCAAGUCUGAACCAGCCAUGCCGCGUGGAGGAUGAAGGCCCUCUGGGUUGUAAACUUCUUUUCUUUGGGACGAAACCCCUGUUUCUACGGGGACUGACGGUACCAGAGGAAUAAGCACCGGCUAACUCCGUGCCAGCAGCCGCCGUAACAC